rfam:Chelonia mydas contig143225, whole genome shotgun sequence.
GCCUGGUUAGCUCAGUUAGUAGUGGACCAAACUUUUAAUCUGAGGGACCAGAGUUCAAGUCCCUGAUCAGGUA